rnacentral:rRNA from 1 species
AUUGAACGCUGGCGGCAGGCCUAACACAUGCAAGUCGAGCGGUAGCACAGAGAGCUUGCUCUCGGGUGACGAGCGGCGGACGGGUGAGUAAUGUCUGGGAAACUGCCUGAUGGAGGGGGAUAACUACUGGAAACGGUAGCUAAUACCGCAUAAUGUCGCAAGACCAAAGUGGGGGACCUUCGGGCCUCAUGCCAUCAGAUGUGCCCAGAUGGGAUUAGCUAGUAGGUGGGGUAACGGCUCACCUAGGCGACGAUCCCUAGCUGGUCUGAGAGGAUGACCAGCCACACUGGAACUGAGACACGGUCCAGACUCCUACGGGAGGCAGCAGUGGGGAAUAUUGCACAAUGGGCGCAAGCCUGAUGCAGCCAUGCCGCGUGUGUGAAGAAGGCCUUCGGGUUGUAAAGCACUUUCAGCGGGGAGGAAGGCGGUGAGGUUAAUAACCUCAUCGAUUGACGUUACCCGCAGAAGAAGCACCGGCUAACUCCGUGCCAGCAGCCGCGGUAAUACGGAGGGUGCAAGCGUUAAUCGGAAUUACUGGGCGUAAAGCGCACGCAGGCGGUCUGUCAAGUCGGAUGUGAAAUCCCCGGGCUCAACCUGGGAACUGCAUUCGAAACUGGCAGGCUAGAGUCUUGUAGAGGGGGGUAGAAUUCCAGGUGUAGCGGUGAAAUGCGUAGAGAUCUGGAGGAAUACCGGUGGCGAAGGCGGCCCCCUGGACAAAGACUGACGCUCAGGUGCGAAAGCGUGGGGAGCAAACAGGAUUAGAUACCCAGGUAGUCCACGCCGUAAACGAUGUCGAUUUGGAGGUUGUGCCCUUGAGGCGUGGCUUCCGGAGCUAACGCGUUAAAUCGACCGCCUGGGGAGUACGGCCGCAAGGUUAAAACUCAAAUGAAUUGACGGGGGCCCGCACAAGCGGUGGAGCAUGUGGUUUAAUUCGAUGCAACGCGAAGAACCUUACCUGGUCUUGACAUCCACAGAACUUUCCAGAGAUGGAUUGGUGCCUUCGGGAACUGUGAGACAGGUGCUGCAUGGCUGUCGUCAGCUCGUGUUGUGAAAUGUUGGGUUAAGUCCCGCAACGAGCGCAACCCUUAUCCUUUGUUGCCAGCGGUUAGGCCGGGAACUCAAAGGAGACUGCCAGUGAUAAACUGGAGGAAGGUGGGGAUGACGUCAAGUCAUCAUGGCCCUUACGACCAGGGCUACACACGUGCUACAAUGGCAUAUACAAAGAGAAGCGACCUCGCGAGAGCAAGCGGACCUCAUAAAGUAUGUCGUAGUCCGGAUUGGAGUCUGCAACUCGACUCCAUGAAGUCGGAAUCGCUAGUAAUCGUAGAUCAGAAUGCUACGGUGAAUACGUUCCCGGGCCU